rnacentral:tRNA from 1 species
GGGCGGGUGGCGAAACUGGUAGACGCACCACACUCAAAAUGUGGCGAGCUUGCGCUCAUAGGAGUUCGAUUCUCCUCCUGCCCAC